rnacentral:misc_RNA from 1 species
AUCGGGCACAUUUGCAAGGCCAGUACCUACCUUUGUCCCAGGCCACAGUGACGCCUGUAACAUUAUUGCGAACAUUCUGAAAGAGGUGGAAUCGUCUAAUGGCACGAGCAGCCGACGGCAACGAAGCAACCACACGGAGCAAGAAUCCAGGAGUCUAAGUACGAGGUUACGCCGCCGCGAUUCUUCGCGAGGUUAGGAGUGCUCUGGGCUGUAGCGACCUCGGCCGAGUAUUUUUGCGCGGAACGAGUGGCUUUGUGAAGAAAGAAUGGCCGGAGUAAGUGCUCCCGUGAAAUAUGGGUUACCGAGUUAAGAGCGAGGGAACAGGGGGACGCUCG